AACGUAGGAGGCGAGCGUUAUCCGGAGUUACUGGGCGUAAAGCGUAUGUAGGCGGUUUUCCAAGUUGCGUGUGAAAGCGCCCGGCUAAACUGGGCGAGGCCACGUAAGACUGGAAGACUCGAGGGUGGUAGAGGGGCGUGGAAUUCCGGGUGUAGCGGUGAAAUGUGUAGAGAUCCGGAGGAACACCAGUGGUGCAGACGGCGCCCUGGGCCAUACCUGACGCUGAGAUACGAAAGCGUGGGGAGCGAACGGG
rnacentral:rRNA from 1 species